UAGUAUUGUUCAAAUAAUUUCCCAGUUUCGAGUUCGAAUUAUUUGUUACAUACUUUGUUCGUGGUAUGCUCUUUUCAUUGUGUGUUUAAAUUUUGUUAAGUUUCGUUUUUUAGUAUCUACUUUUAAGGUAGAAUUAUUCAAGUUUCAAGUUUUCAAGUUUUGAAGUAGGUAACACUCUCCUAAAAGAUAUCCAGCAGCAAUGCUCCUCAAGAGAAUCUUGAAACUACUGGGUAAAAGUCCAGAAAUUUGGGGACAUCUGAACUGCCGUCAAAAUUUGAACAGAACUAGGGGGGAUUUUAAGCUCUUUUACAGCUAAUGUCAUCACACUUGGACGAUAUCACAAAGGCUUUGCAAUGUAGGAAUGAGAAAAGAAUGAUUUUUUAGAUAACAAAUAAAUUUUGACUGAACGUCUCUCUAAUAAUGUGUCCUCCGCUGUGAUUUUGACCGCAGUUCAAACAGAGAUUUUGUCAGUCCGGACAGGCUAAAACACUUUGUACCGUAAUUUGGUGGUAUGUACCGAGAAAUUUUUGCUCAACAUUUGGGGGAAUUGAUAAUGAGACAAUAAUCAAUAAUCUUAUUCCAAAAUAAAGUAUAAGAAGUUCAAACAAAAAAUUUACACGAUAAAGUCUUCGCAACAGUUUUUUGGGCUAAAGAAGGACUUUUGCUAUUAAGGUUUAUACUACCUGAGACGAUGAUAUCAAAAGGAAACUAUGCAAAAUAUUCUAAAGUUUUGUGUGAUUCUAUAAACUUGAAAAGGUAUGAAAUCCACACGUCAGAUGUACUGUUCUUUCACAAAAACCGACUGGAGCAUAUACCGGGUGUCCCAGGCAGGCUUGGAUAUAGGAGAUUAACAUGGGAAAUUAGUUUUUAUUUUUUUCUGGCUGCAGGAGUAACAGAAAUUAAAAUCUGGUUAAUGGAGCUUGUGGUGCUCGAAAAGGACUAUCUUAUCGACAUUUUUGUCGAUUCUCCAAUUAACUCCAUUUUGGCGAAAACGGCUCUU